rnacentral:rRNA from 1 species
UACGUAGGGGGCAAGCGUUGUCCGGAAUCAUUGGGCGUAAAGCGCGUGUAGGCGGUUUCGUAAGUCUGCUGUGAAAGUCGGAGGCUCAACCUUCGAAAGCCGGUGGAUACUGUGAGACUUGAGUACGGAAGAGGAGAGUGGAAUUCCUGGUGUAGCGGUGAAAUGCGCAGAUAUCAGGAGGAACACCAACGGCGAAGGCAGCUCGCUGGGACGUUACUGACACUGAGGCGCGAAAGCGUGGGGAGCGAACAGG